AAUUUUGGACAUUGGGCGCAAGCUUGAUCCACCCAUGCCGCGUGAGUGAAGAAGGCCUUCGGGUGGGAAAGCUCUUUCGGACGGAAAGAAAUCGCGCAGGCUAAUACACGGCGCGGAUGACGCUACCGUCACAAGAAGCCCGGGCUAACUACGUGACAGCAGCCGCGGGAAUACGUAGGGUGCGAGCGUUCAGCGGAAUUACUGGGCGUAAAGUGUGCGCAGGCGGUUGAUUAAGACAGGCGUGAAGUCACCGGGCUUAGCCUGGGAACUGAGCUUGUGACUUGUCAGCUAGAGUACGGCAGAGGGGGGUGGAAUGCCACGUGUAGCAGUGAAAUGCGUAGAGAUGUGGAGGAACACCGAUGGCGAAGGCAGCCCCCUGGGCCGAUACUGACGCUCAUGCACGAAAGCGUGGGUAGCAAACAGG
rnacentral:rRNA from 1 species